GCGUAAUAGCUCACUGGUCGAGAGGUCCUGCGCCGAAAAUGUCCGGGGCUGAAACGCGCCACCGAAACUAAGGAAUCUGAAAAGAUUGGUAGAGGAGCAUUGCAUGCGGGAAGAAGCAGUACCGGAAGGAGCUGUGGACUGCAUGGAAGAGAGAAUGCCGGAAUGAGUAGCGAGAUAGAGGUGGGAAUCCUCUAGGCCGAAUAUCCAAGGUUUCCAGGGUAAAGCUGAUCUGCCCUGGGUGAGUCGGGACCUAAGGUGAGGGCGAGAGCCGUAGCCGAUGGACAACAGGUUGAUAUUCCUGUACUGCAGUAUGACAGAACUGUGGGGACACGUAAGGAGAGCGGGAGCCGGGAAUGGAAAGCCCGGUACAAGCGAGGUACCAGUAUGGUAGGAAAAUCCGCCAUGCAAUGGGAAGACGUGAUGUGGAGUGAAAUUUAGUAACGAAGCCCGUGAGCCAUGCGUCAAGAAAAGCCGCUAUCGUUCAUAUUGUACCCGUACCGUAAACCGACACAGGUGGAUGAGGAGAGAAUCCUAAGGCCGGCGGAAGAAGUAUUGCUAAGGAACUCGGCAAAAUGACCCCGUAACUUCGGGAGAAGGGGUGCCUGCGAGAGCAGGCCGCAGAGAAUAGGCUCAAGCAACUGUUUAGCAAAAACACAGGUCUAUGCGAAACCGAAAGGUGAGGUAUAUGGGCUGACGCCUGCCCGGUGCUGGAAGGUUAAGAGGAGAGGUUAGCGCAAGCGAAGCUUUGAAUUUAAGCCCCAGUAAACGGCGGCCGUAACUAUAACGGUCCUAAGGUAGCGAAAUUCCUUGUCGGGUAAGUUCCGACCCGCACGAAAGGCGUAAUGAUUUGAGCGCUGUCUCGGCAAUACAUCCGGUGAAAUUGAAGUGCCAGUGAAGAUGCUGGCUACCCGCGCCAGGACGGAAAGACCCCAUGGAGCUUUACUCCAGUUUGGCACUGGGGUCCGGUGUUGCAUGUACAGGAUAGGUGGGAGGCUGAGAGAUAGUGACGUCAGUUGCUAUGGAGCCGCUGUUGGGAUACCACCCUUGUGAUAUUGGGCUUCUAACCAGCCGCCGUAAUCCGGCGGUGGGACAAUGCCAGGCGGGGAGUUUGACUGGGGCGGUCGCCUCCGAAAGGGUAUCGGAGGCGCUCAAAGGUUCCCUCAGAAUGGUCGGAAACCAUUCGAAGAGUGCAAAGGCAGAAGGGAGCUUGACUGCGACACCGACGGGUGGAGCAGGU
rnacentral:rRNA from 1 species